rnacentral:rRNA from 1 species
GAUUAACGCUAGCGGCAGGCCUAAUACAUGCAAGUCGAACGGGAUUUCGGGUAGCAAUAUCUGAAUGAGAGUGGCGCACGGGUGCGUAACGCGUAUGUAACCUACCUUUGUCUGGGGGGAUAGCCUUCCGAAAGGAAGAUUAAUACCGCAUAAAGUAUUGAUGUAGCAUUACAUUAAUACCAAACCUCAGGGGGACAAAGAUGGGCAUGCGUUAGAUUAGCUAGUUGGUGAGGUAACGGCUCACCAAGGCUACGAUGUUUAGGGGAUCUGAGAGGAUGACCCCCCANACUGGUACUGAGACACGGACCAGACUCCUACGGGAGGCAGCAGUAAGGAAUAUUGGUCAAUGGGC